rnacentral:rRNA from 1 species
GCAUAUCAAUAAGCGGAGGAAAAGAAACCAACAGGGAUUGCCCUUAGUAACGGCGAAGUGAAGCGGCAACAGCUCAAAUUUGAAAUCUGGCUCUCGGGCCCGUAGUUGUAAUUUGUAGAGGAUGUUUCUGGCGACGUGUCUUCCGAGUUCCCUGGAACGGGACGCCAUAGAGGGUGAGAGCCCCGUCCGGUCGUACGCCUAGCCUCUGUGAAACUCCUUCGACGAGUCGAGUAGUUUGGGAAUGCUGCUCAAAAUGGGAGGUAUACGUCUUCUAAAGCUAAAUACCGGCCAGAGACCGAUAGCGCACAAGUAGAGUGAUCGAAAGAUGAAAAGCACUUUGAAAAGAGGGUUAAAUAGUACGUGAAAUUGCUGAAAGGGAAGCGCUCAUGACCAGACUUGGGCUCGGCGAAUCAUCCGGCGUUCUCGCCGGUGCACUUUACCGGCCCAGGCCAGCAUCAGCUCGCCCCGGGGGAUAAAGGCUUCGGGAAUGUAGCUCCCUCGUGGAGUGUUAUAGACCGUUGCGUAAUACCCUGGGGUGGGCUGAGGUACGCGUUCUGCAAGGAUGCUGGCGUAAUGGUCAUCAGUGACCCGUCUUGAAACACGGACCAAGGAGUCGUCUUCGUAUGCGAGUGUUCGGGUGUCAAACCCCUACGCGUAAUGAAAGUGAACGUAGGAGAGAGCUUCGGCGCAUCUCCGACCGAUCCUGAUGUUCUCGGAUGGAUUUGAGUAAGAGCAUACGGGGCCGGACCCGAAAGAAGGUGAACUAUGCCUGUAUAGGGUGAAGCCAGAGGAAACUCUGGUGGAGGCUCGCAGCGGUUCUGACGUGCAAAUCGAUCGUCAAAUAUGGGCAUGGGGGGCGAAAGACUAAUCGAACCUUCUAGUAGCUGGGUUUCCGCCGA